GACGAACGCUGGCGGCGUGCUUAACACAUGCGAGUCGAACGGAAAGGCCUGUCCUUCCUUGUGUUGGACGGGUACUCGAGUGGCGAACGGGUGAGUAACACGUGAGUGAUCUGCCCCCAACUUGGGUAUAAGCCUGGGAAACUGGGUCUAAUUCCCGAUAGGACUGCAGGGUGGUGCCUGUGGUGGAAAACGAUUUUCUAGUGGUUGGGGAUGAGCUCGCGGCCUAUCAGUUUGUUGGUGGGGUAAUGGCCUACCAAGGCGGGGACGGGUAGCCGGCCUGGGAGGGUGGACGGCAACAUUGGGACUGAGAUACGGCCCAGACUCCGACGGGAGGAAGCAGUGGGGAAUAUUGCACAAGGGGCGGAAGCCUGAUGCAGCGACGCCGCGUGGGGGAUGACGGCCUUCGGGUUGUAAACUCCUUUCGACCGCGAGGAAGCCGCCUGGUUGGAAGGGUGGUGACGGUAGUGGCAGAAGAAGCACUGGCUAACUACGUG
rnacentral:rRNA from 1 species